rnacentral:rRNA from 1 species
GAUCCUGGCUCAGAACGAACGCUGGCGGCGUGGAUAAGACAUGCAAGUCGAACGAGAGAAUUGCUAGCUUGCUAAUAAUUCUCUAGUGGCGCACGGGUGAGUAACACGUGAGUAACCUGCCCCCGAGAGCGGGAUAGCCCUGGGAAACUGGGAUUAAUACCGCAUAGUAUCGAAAGAUUAAAGCAGCAAUGCGCUUGGGGAGUGGGCGUCGCGGCCUAUUAGUUAGUUUGGUUGGAGGUAACGGGCU